UACGGAGGGUGCGAGCGUUGUCCGGAAUCACUGGGCGUAAAGGGCGCGUAGGCGGCGCGGAUAGUCGGCGGUGAAAGCCCGGAGCUCAACUCCGGGUCGGCCGUCGAUACUUCCGGGCUUGAGCACUGUAGAGGCAGAUGGAAUUCCGGGUGUAGCGGUGGAAUGCGUAGAGAUCCGGAAGAACACCGGUGGCGAAGGCGGUCUGCUGGGCAGUUGCUGACGCUGAUGCGCG
rnacentral:rRNA from 1 species